rnacentral:rRNA from 1 species
CUACACUCCUGCGGGAGGCAGCAGUGGGGAAUUUUGGACAAUGGGCGAAAGCCUGAUCCAGCCAUGCCGCGUGCAGGAUGAAGGCCUUCGGGUUGUAAACUGCUUUUGUACGGAACGAAACGGCCUUUUCUAAUAAAGAGGGCUAAUGACGGUACCGUAAGAAUAAGCACCGGCUAACUACGUGCCAGCAGCCGCGGUAAUACGUAGGGUGCAAGCGUUAAUCGGAAUUACUGGGCGUAAAGCGUGCGCAGGCGGUUAUGUAAGACAGUUGUGAAAUCCCCGGGCUCAACCUGGGAACUGCAUCUGUGACUGCAUAGCUAGAGUACGGUAGAGGGGGAUGGAAUUCCGCGUGUAGCAGUGAAAUGCGUAGAUAUGCGGAGGAACACCGAUGGCGAAGGCAAUCCCCUGGACCUGUACUGACGCUCAUGCACGAAAGCGUGGGGAGCAAACAGGAUUAGAUACCCGAGUAGUCCCAUG